rnacentral:lncRNA from 1 species
GCCACUUCAAUCGUCUUUUUUGAUUAACAAUGGUGAGCUCUGCUUCGGGUGGCCACCUUAUAGUGGCCAACCAAACCAAACUUAGUUCAGACAUGAAGACAAUCAACUUCAAAGCCAUUCUUCAUCCACUGCCCAUACUUGUUCUUCAUCUUCUCAUCUAGCACCUUUGCCUUGGCCUCUGCCAUCUUGCCUCUUCCUACACUUGAGCC